UGCAGUCGAACGAAGUAGCAAUACUUAGUGGCGAACGGGUGAGUAUAAUGUGGGCAUCUGCCUUUUGGUUUGGAAUAACACGGGGAAACUUGUGCUAAUACUGGAUAAGCCUUUACAGGGAAAGCUUUAGCGCCAAAAGAUGAGCCCAUACUUGAUUAGCUAGUUGGUAAGGUAAUGGCUUACCAAGGCUACGAUCAAUAGCUGAUCUGAGAGGAUGAUCAGCCACAUUGGGGCUGAGACACGGCCCAAACUCCUACGGGAGGCAGCAGUGGGGAAUUUUGCACAAUGGGGGAAACCCUGAUGCAGCGAUGCCGCGUGAGUGAAGAAGGCCUUUGGGUUGUAAAGCUCUUUCGUCGGGGAAGAAAAUGACUGUACCCGAAUAAGAAGGUCCGGCUAACUUCGUGCCAGCAGCCGCGGUAAUACGAAGGGACCUAGCGUAGUUCGGAAUUACUGGGCUUAAAGAGUUCGUAGGCGGUUCGGUAAGUCAGGUGUGAAAGCUCGAGGCUCAACCUCGAGAUGCCACCUGAUACUGCUGUGACUUGAGUCCGGUAGAGGAGUGUGGAAUUCCUGGUGUAGCGGUGAAAUGCGCAGAUAUCAGGAGGAACACCAAUUGCGAAGGCAGCACUCUGGGCCGGUACUGACGCUGAGGAGCGAAAGCGUGGGGAGCGAACAGGAUUAGAUACCCUGGUAGUCCACGCCGUAAACGUUGGGCACU
rnacentral:rRNA from 1 species